rnacentral:rRNA from 1 species
CCUGACUGCUAUCGGAUUGAUACUAAGCCAUGCGAGUCAUUGUAGCAAUACAAGGCAUACGGCUCAGUAACGCGUAGUCAACCUAACCUAUGGACGGGAAUAACCUCGGGAAACUGAGAAUAAUGCCCGAUAGAACAUUAUACCUGGAAUGGUUUAUGUUCCAAAUGAUUUAUCGCCGUAGGAUGGGACUGCGGCCUAUCAGUUUGUUGGUGAGGUAAUGGCCCACCAAGACUAUUACAGGUACGGGCUCUGAGAGGAGUAGCCCGGAGAUGGGUACUGAGACACGGACCCAGGCCCUAUGGGGCGCAGCAGGCGAGAAAACUUUGCAAUGUGCGAAAGCACGACAAGGUUAAUCCGAGUGAUUUCUGCUAAAGAAAUCUUUUGUUAGUCCUAGAAACACUAACGAAUAAGGGGUGGGCAAGUUCUGGUGUCAGCCGCCGCGGUAAAACCAGCACCUCAAGUGGUCAGGAUGAUUAUUGGGCCUAAAGCAUCCGUAGCCGGCUCUGUAAGUUUUCGGUUAAAUCUGUACGCUUAACGUACAGGCCGCCGGGAAUACUGCAAAGCUAGGGAGUGGGAGAAGUAGACGGUACUCGGUAGGAAGUGGUAAAAUGCUUUGAUCUAUCGAUGACCACCUGUGGCGAAGGCGGUCUACUAGAACACGUCCGACGGUGAGGGAUGAAAGCUGGGGGAGCAAACCGGAUUAGAUACCCGGGUAGUCCCAGCUGUAAACUAUGCAAACUCAGUGAUGCAUUGGCUUGUGGCCAAUGCAGUGCUGCAGGGAAGCCGUUAAGUUUGCCGCCUGGGAAGUACGUACGCAAGUAUGAAACUUAAAGGAAUUGGCGGGGGAGCACCACAAGGGGUGAAGCCUGCGGUUC